UACGUAGGUGGCAAGCGUUAUCCGGAAUUAUUGGGCGUAAAGAGCUCGUAGGCGGUGUGUCGCGUCGGCCGUGAAAACCUGCAGCUUAACUGUGGGCUUGCGGUCGAUACGGGCAUCACUGGAGUUCGGCAGGGGAGACUGGAAUUCCUGGUGUAGCGGUGAAAUGCGCAGAUAUCAGGAGGAACACCGGUGGCGAAGGCGGCAUCCUGGACCGGCAUUGACGCUGAGGCGCGAAAGCUAGGGGAGCAAACGGG
rnacentral:rRNA from 1 species